rnacentral:rRNA from 1 species
UACGUAGGGCGCAAGCGUUAUCCGGAAUUAUUGGGCGUAAAGAGCUCGUAGGCGGCUUGUCGCGUCGACUGUGAAAACCCGCGGCUUAACUGCGGGCUUGCAGUUGAUACGGGCAGGCUAGAGUUCGGUAGGGGGAGACUGGAAUUCCUGGUGUAGCGGUGAAAUGCGCAGAUAUCAGGAGGAACACCGGUGGCGAAGGCGGGUCUCUGGGCCGAUACUGACGCUGAGGAGCGAAAGCGUGGGGGAGCGAACAGG